UACGGAGGAUCCAAGCGUUAUCCGGAUUUAUUGGGGUUUAAAGGGUGCGUAGGCGGAUUAUUAAGUCAGUGGUGAAAGCCUGCAGCUUAACUGCAGAACUGCCAUUGAUACUGAUGAUCUUGAGUACAGUUGAGGUGGGCGGAAUGUGUCAUGUAGCGGUGAAAUGCAUAGAUAUGACACAGAACACCUAUUGCGAAGGCAGCUCGCUAAACUGUAACUGACGCUGAGGCACGAAAAGCGUGGGGAUCAAACAGG
rnacentral:rRNA from 1 species